GACGAACGCUGGCGGCGUGCUUAACACAUGCAAGUCGAACGGAAAGGCCCUGCUUUUGUGGGGUUCUCGAGUGGCGAACGGGUGAGUAACACGUGAGUAACCUGCCCUUGACUUUGGGAUAACUUCAGGAAACUGGGGCUAAUACCGGAUAGGAGCUCCUGCUGCAUGGUGGGGGUUGGAACGUUGCGGCGGUUGGGGAUGGACUCGCGGCUUAUCAGCUUGUUGGUGGGGUAGUGGCUUACCAAGGCUUUGACGGGUAGCCGGCCUGAGAGGGUGACCGGCCACAUUGGGACUGAGAUACGGCCCAGACGCCUACGGGAGGCAGCAGGGGGGAAUAUUGCACAAUGGGCGGAAGCCUGAUGCAGCAACGCCGCGGGCGGGAUGACGGCCUUCGGGUUGUAAACCGCUUUCGCCUGUGACGAAGCGUGAGUGACGGUAAUGGGUAAAGAAGCACCGGCUAACUACGUG
rnacentral:rRNA from 1 species